ACCAUGGGUUGAAUAUUUGUGUCCCCCAAAUUCAUGUUGAGACAUCAUCUCCAAUGUGGUGGUGUUUGGGGAUGAAGUCUUUGGGGGAGUAUCAGCUCAUGAGUGGGAUUAGUGCCUUUAUAAAAUGGACUCCAGAGAGCUCCCUCAGACUUCUCCAUGCAACAACACAAGCUGUUGUCUGGGAACCAAGAGUUGGGUCUCACCAGACACUGACUACCAACAACCUGAUUGGGACUUCAACCUCCUUAACCAUGGGGAAUAAAUGCUGUGAAUUAGAAGGCACCCAGGCUGUAUUUUGUUAUUUGCCUUAAUGGAUUAAGAUAACUUAAAAACAGCUUAGAGAGUGAUGGCAGCAUUUUUUAAAUUAAUUAAUGAAUUAUAGUUAUUUUGUUGUUUAAGAAUUUCAUGCAUGCAUUAAUACAUUCUGAAUAUAUCUUCCUUUACCUGCUAAUUCUUCUGUCCCCUUACUACUUUAUUCUCUCAACCACAUGUCCACCCUCCAUCCAUAGCAUCAUAGCACAUUCUUGCACUAUGAAAGCUAAUCAGCAGGGAUGAAGCUUCCAGGUAGAUACCAGCUUAAUUUCCCCAGGUCUUAAUCUUCAGAAAUAGGGUUAAAUUAAAGAGAGUAACAAAGAACAAUGACCUGAGUCUAGGAGACAGGAUGGGUGUGCUGCAGAGGGCAGCAUGUAAGCCAGGCCCUCUGGAGCCCAGGGGAACAUGAGUGGGUUCCAGAUGUCAGUCACUGAACUUCUUUACACUGUCGAACUUCAGUUUUGCUUUGGUCUGACUGUAACUGCGCUGGUUCUUUCUUCUUGGAAUAGAAUGGAUGCAACUUAGUUUUCAUUUUACAGGAGCCCCCACAGUAAAGGGAUUUUGAACUUCUAAAGAGACAGAGUUCUAGAUAGGCUUUUGACAGAUAUUUUAGAGACUUUGGGUAUUUUAGAGAGGCUUGAACUCUAAAAGGAACUUUUGGUGCUUCAUUUACUUUUUUGGAUUUUAUUUAUUUUUAUUUUAUUUUUAUGAGUGUUUUGACUGAAUGUAGAGGCCAGUAGAGGGGACCAGAUCCCAUGGGGCUGGAGUUCCAGAUAGUUGUGAGUCACCUUGUGGGUGUUGGGGACUGAAUUUAGGGCUGAGCCAUCUCUCCAGCCUCAACUUUUGGAUGCUUUAGAGAGACUGAACUUUUGAAGCAUUUGAGGUUUUAAAGACUGUGGAACUUUUAAAGGUUGUAAUAUUUUAUGUUGUGUGGUGAUAUUUUAUUUGUGCUCUAAUAAAUAAAGCUUGCCUGAAGAUCAGAGGAAACAGCUAGCCAUUCAUUAUAAGUAAACACAAAAGUCCUGCAACGUUAGCACACACAUUUAAUCCUAUCACUUGGGAGGCAGGGAUAUAUCUAGAUCUAUGUAAGUUCAAGGCCACACUGGGAACAGAGCUAGGUGUGGUGGCACAUGUCUUAAAUUCCAACACUAGUUAACAUGGAGGUCUGGAGGUUCGUACAGACAGACAGGAAGUGACAGAGCUGGGCAGGAAGAGGAAGUGAUGUAACUGGAAAGAGAGAGCAAAUCAGAUGGCAGAACAGCAAGGCAUAUAGGUGUGGGUAGACAGGAAGUAUCUCGCUUUUGGAAGCUGUGGAGUUGGUGAGGUGAGGUUAGCAUGUGGCUGUUCCUAUUCCUCUGGUCUCUCUCGGGUUUUCAUCGCUAUAUCUGGCUCUGUGUUUUUUUUAUUUAAUAAGACUGUUUAGAAAUUUGUCUAUAAUGUUGUGAUAUUAAUAUUAACAUGACAUACAAUCCUCAGUAUGAAAAACAAAACAAAACAAACAGCCAGGCAUGACGGUACAUAUUUUGUAAUCCUAGCAUUUUGAGAGAUGAACUAAGAGGAUCAGGAGUUCAAGGCCAGCAUGAGCUAGAGAGUUAGUGGGUAGCCUGAGAUACAUGAAACCCUAUUGGGGACAGGGGAAACAGAAACAUUUUCCAAGUUAGUGGAGAAGAAAAAUAGAUUUUUUUUCAUACAAUAUAUUCUUAUCACAGUUUUGCCUCCUUCAGCUUCUCCCAGAUGCUCCCCUCCUUCAUACCUACCCAAAUCCAUGUAUUUUUUCUCCCAUUAGAAAAUAAAUAGGCAUCUAAAAUAGAAAAAAAAUAGACAAAGAGAAAGCACAAGAAACAUAUAAAGACAUAAAGAUGCACACACAGAAAUCCUAUUAAAAACACGAAAUCAGAAACCACAGUAUGUUGUUGGUUGUUUUCUGCUCUUUUGGGGGGCCUGCCACCCAGCUUCCAAAUAAAUCACACAUGGAGGCUUAUUCUUAAUUCUGCAUGUCUGGCCUUAGCUUGACUUGUUGCUAGCCAGCUUUCCUUAACACAUCUGUCUUUUGCCUCUGGGCUUUUCCUGUUCUCUUACUUCUGUAAAUCUUACUCUUACUCUGUGACUUGCUGUGUAGCUUGGUGGCUGACCCCUGAUGUCCUCUUCCUUUUUUUUCUUCUUCUCCCUUUCCUCCUUCUAUAUAUUCUCUCACCUCACUGUUGGUCAUUCAGUUCUUUAUUAGACCAUCAGAUAUUUUAGACAAGCACAGUAACACAGCUUCACAGAGUUAAACAAAUACAACAUAAAUAAAAGUAGCAUACCUUAAAAUAAUAUUCCGCAACAGUAGUAUAUAAGCAAAAAACCUCUAAAGUUGAAAAAAGCUCAGACAAAGCAUUAUGAGACACAAAAAACUCCACAAAUACCAUCAAGUUUGGAUUGUAUUGGGCAGCUUCUGUUGGGCAUGGGAACUGCCCUUAAGUAUGGUUUGUAUACCCAGUGAGAUUCCCUUGUAGAAAAUUAUUUUUCCUUUGGCAGCAGUUAUUUAUUGGAGAUACCCUCUAAAUGAGGGAUAGUGGUUUGUGUCCUCUUCCCCUGUAGGCCAUGGAACCCCAUUUGUCCCUGUAGAUGGGGGAAAAUACAGAGACCCACAACUGGACAAUGUGCAGAGAAUUCUCAAUUCCUAGAAUUACCCUUGAAAGAAGCAGGCCCUGUGCAUGCUGCCACAGUCUCUGUGAGUUUAUGUUGUGUCUGAAGGCAUUGUUUCUUUGGUGUCUUCCAUCUUCACUGGCUUUUAUAAUCUUUUGGCUUUCUUUUUCACAGUUUCCCAAGCCCUGGGGGAAAGGAUUUGAUGGAGACAUGCCAUUUAGGACUGAGUGUUUCAAGGUCCCUCCUUCUCUUCACAUUGCCCAGUUGUGGGUCUCUAUAUUUGUUCCCAUCUAUUGCAGGAGGAAGCUUCUCUGAUGAUGGCUGAGCAUAGCAGAAUGCUGUUGUCAUUUUAUUGCUACAUUCCUUUUGCAGAAUAGUAGCAGUCGUUUUCUCCUAGGUCCCUGGGUCAUCUCAUCUCAGGGUCCUGGUCACCUGAAUAGUGUCAGGGAUGGGUUCUCACUCAUGGAGUGGGUCUUAAAUCAGAUAUUGGUUGAUAACUCCCACAAGCUUUGUGAGCUGCUGCACUUGUGCAUCUUACAGGCAGGUCACCAUUGUAGACUGAAGCAUUUGUAGCUGAGAUGGUGUUUACCUUUCUCCUCUGCUAGCAUGUAGAGUUAUCUUCCAGCACCAUGAACACUAGUUAGCAGGGGUGAAGGCUCUAAGUAGGUACCAACUUAACUUCUCUGUAUUCAGUGAAUUUUGUAGGUGCUGUCUUCAGCAAUGGGGAUUGCGAUAAGUUUCAAGAGAAAACAACAACCUUGGCAAUAGCCUGGGUUGUUUGGGGGUUCCCAGAGGGCCCUUUUGGCCAACAACUCAAUUAGCUAUAACUUAGUCCUGGCACUGGGGAUUCCAUUUGGUGGAGAGAGAUGUUUAGUUGGGGCUUUGCCUCCCCCAUUAAUUGGUGAUUCUGUUUAGGUUUCUUUAAUAUAUGUAACCUACUGUACCCCUCAAAUGUCCCUUAGUUUGAGUUGUUCUUCCUUGUAUUCCUUCCUUCAGCUGGCUCUUACUGCCUCUUCCCCAUUUGAUCCUCGCAUUGCAGCCCCCGCCCAUCUAUAACUAUCUAUCCUAUCUCCCCUUCCUGGGGAGAUCCUUCUCUCCCCUCUACUCCCUUACUCAGUAAGUGACUUCUGUGGUUCCAUGGAUUAUAACCUGCCAAAAUGCACAAAGAAAAUCCUGUGGGGCCUCAAUCCUGUACAAAGAACUUCAGGCAAUUGAGGAAGGCUGAGAGAGGGAGAAGUGGCUUUCCCACGGAAGAGCAAGUUGCCCAGGGCUAAACAGCCCUGAGAGCAUACAUACAAUACAUACAAGUAACAUGAUAUGGGCUCAAUAGGUGAUAUUUGGGGAAAAUAUGUAUAUGUAAAUACAUAUGUGCAUGCAAUAAGAAUAAAAAAGAGGCCGUGAAUUUGAAGGAGAGUGGGGAGGGCAUAUGGGAGACUUGGAAGGUAGAAAGGGAAGGGAGAAAUGUAAUUAAAAUAUAUUAUCAAAAUAAACAAAAUAUAUGAAAAAAGACAGAAAAAACCCACUAGGAAGUUAAAAAAAAAAUAAAAUCACAGUCAGUAACUGCAGAAGUUUGAAGCAUACUAUUAAUACAUUUAAUAUAACCAACAUAUGGAGGAAGCUGCUUCCAACAGCAGAGUGCACAUUUCUUUAAAAUGCACAUUGAACAUUUAUAAAAACUAACAUGCAGUUUUUCAUAAAGCAAACUCUAGAAAUAUCAGAAGAUGAAAUCAUAUAGAGUAGUUCUUUAGGUGGAAUUAAGCUAAAAGCAAAAAGGCCACUAGGAAAUCCUGACAUGUUUAGCCUCAACACACACAUAUAAAUAAUCUAUAGGUGAGAGAAGCAUUUUGAUCAGGAUGACAAUUGUUUGUAGUUCUUCACUGAGGGUUGAGGCUCCUAGAGAUUUACCACAUUCACACAGGCAUGCCAUUUGGGGUUGUCAUUGUUCAGGUCUUGUUUAAGCAGCCAUGUUGUUGAGAUUUCAUGGGUUUAGCUUCCCCUCAUUCCUAGAAGACACAAUCUCACAGCAGAACUCCUAGUUCUCUGGCUCUUAAGAUCUUUCUGCCCCUCUCUUCCAUGAUGGACCCUGAUCAUUGGGUGUAGGAUUUGUUUUGUAAAUGUAUUAACUGGGGUCCAGCUUCCCCCAUGGUCAGUUGUCCACUGCAUUUUAACUAGUUGUGAUUUUCUGGAAUGGUCUCUUCCUUUCGCAAAACCCAAACUAAAACCGAAACUUUGAUUUGGGGUGAAAGCUGCACUUAACCAUUAGUUAAAGAAAAUCUGUGACCACAAAGACAUAAGCAAAAAUAACAAAACUAUUCACAACUUCAAAACCACUUAUCUCUUUAGUGUUCAGUUAGAGAAACACAUUUCAAAAAUCCAUGUUAUGUCAUGCCUCAGCUUCCUUUCCUUCCUCCUUCCAUGGGGUCAGGCUGACCAGAACCCCUGUCUUGGAUGGCUCUUCCACAUUCCCCUCAGUUGUCUAUUUCCCCCUCAGGAUCAGCCCCAGGCUGCAUGGUUCCCUAAAGGACUCCAGCUUGGGCCCCUGGCCAUACAUGCAGAGGCACUGUCAUGCUCGCUUUGGAGAACGAAUUUCUCAGCUACCUUCUCAUUUUUGUCCUUUGUUUUUUUGUCUUGUGUUUUUUUUUCUAGAAUAGAAGGUUCUAUGCAUUUGCCUCUGUUGCUGUAGGUGGAAAUCAAUGUCUUACAGGUAAAAUGCUUCCAGGGAAACCAUCCCCCUUUGGAGCAACAGACCCCUUUGUCUGAUUUUAGGUUUUUCUCUGCAAACUUCUGUCUCCCACAAGUGCUGGGUCGGGGACUAAAUGGCCAUGUUUAAUAUGCAGCUAAUGCAGGUUUCCCCUCCAAUGGCAGCUGCCCCAGUAGGAAAGCCCUUUGGAGCCCCAUUAAAGGAUUUGGCUCAGUUCCUUCUCACUAUGUGUGCAAUCCUUUGGUACUUCCAAAAGGUCCUUAAUGAAAACACUCAACCUUGCUAACAAAGAGGCCAACACAAUUGAUCAUCUUGGCAGAUUUUAUGGACCCACUCUUAAAGUUCAAAUACUCCUGAUGGAAGGAGCAUCCUCAGGUGAACAAAUACACAAAUCUUUAGGAAUGCAAGUAUCUGAAAGAGCAAGCUCUUCAUUUUCUGGUCAAUGAUUGUCAAAUGUGAGUGUAUACCAGAAUGACCCACAGGAUCUGCUAAGGCUCAAUUUUAACUGGACCCCUCCCUAAAUAUUUCUGAUUCAAUGAGUACUAGGGGCUAAAUUAUGUCAAUUCAUAUUGCAGCACUAACCUCCAAUGUGCUGUUUGGGGGCAGAGCUGUUAGGAGCUAAUUAAGAUUAAAUCAGAUGAUGUGGAUGGGAACACACACCCCAGAGGGCACAGAGGAAAGCUGUGUGAGGUGAGAAUGCAACCUGACUGUGGCCAGCCUUCUACAAGUCAGGAAGAGAGGCCUCAUCAGAAGGCAUGACCUCUGAGGGCACUGUCAUCUUGCACUUCGGUAUCCAGAACUUUGAGAAACUAACUUUCUGUUGUUUAAGCCCCCAGUGGGCCAUAUUCUGUUAUGAUGGUCUAAAUGUCCUCACAGUUGUCUGGGAAAUGGCUGGCUACCUUCACCUUCAUUUGAAACACCAUUCCUGUGGUUACAGCUGACUUAGGGCUCACACUUGGAAAACUCAUUGCAGAGCUCACUGUCCAUAGGCCACUUGAUGGCCUUUAUGACUUUUUAAUAACUUUUUAAAAUUAUCCCUUUGGAAUUGAAAGGAUGGUCUUGAACUUAGGAGUCAACGGCUUGACUGGGGAGAUAGCUGUGAUGGUAAAGCAGUUGCCUUACAAGAAUGAGGACCUGAGUUCAGAUCUCUAGAACCCAUGUAAAGCUAGGACAGUAUGUGCAUCUCUUGUUAUAGUAAUCUUGUGCCAAGAUGGGAGAAAGAGAGGGAAAUCUCUGGCCACUCUUGGGCUAGCUAGCCUGGCAAAUGCAGUGACAAAAGACAAAGAGACUCUGACAGAAGUGUGAAGGCAAGGGCAAACACCCAAGGUUGUCUUGUGACCGCCAUAUGUACACAGUGGCACAUGUGCUUCUGUGCACACACAGAGAUGUAGCUGGAGCUUUCUCCAGUUCUGCCAGGGCCCGCAGCCACUUAGACCCAAAUAAACACACAGACGCUUAUAUUAUUUAAACUGUUUGGCCUAAUGGCUCAGGCUUCUUGCUAUCCAGUUCUUACAUCUUAAAUUAACCUAUUUCUAUUAAUCUAUAAGUUGUCAUGUGGCUUGUGGCUUAUUGGUACUUUGCAUCUUACUUCUCAUGGCGGCAGCUGGCAGCAUCUCCUGACUCAGCCUUCCACUUCCCAGCAUUCUUCUCUCUGCUUAUCCCACCUAUACUAUGCUUCCUGCCUGGCUACUGGCCAAUCAGCAUUUUAUUUAUCAAUCAAUCAUAGCAACACAUUUUCACAGCAUAUAGAAAGAAAGAAAGAACAGCUCCUGCCUGUUGCUUUUCAUGGAGCAAUAUGCUCUGCUAUCUCUGUCACCUUCUUCCUGCAUCUUACAAGAUGAACCUGUAGGAUGUUGGUACCAUGCUGGGUAGAUACAGUGUUCCCAACAAAAGCAGCAAAAACUAAUGCUGUACUUUUUCCAACCACAAAGGAGAAUUUGGGUUUUUUAUCUAGAUGUGGGCCAGAGGUAAUUUUUCAGUUACAUAAAAUUGUGUACCUGCUCUCCAUUCUGGCAUUAGAAAAGUAAAAUAUUACUCAGGAGCUGGAAAAGGACAUUAGGUGAUGUGUCACAUCUGAUUCUUAUGUCUCUUUUGAUGUAUAACUUGUAUCUUGGAUUUUAUGCCAUCCAACAGAUGCACCUGUCUAGACUCUGACAUCUCCAGCAUCAGCUUCUACUUCUGGACCAGCGUUGGCCUCAGAUUGCUGAAGGUGUUAGAAGUGUCAGUGUGAGAGUAGAUUGCACUUCAGUAUUCCCGCCUUUCCUCCUUUUUCCACAUGGUCUCUAGGGCAGACUGGCCUCCAACCCCCUGUGUAAGCUGAGGCUGACCUUGAACUUCUGAUCCUCAUGUGCUGGAAUUACAGAUGCUGAAAAUCCCGGCUCUCAACACAACCAGUCCAUCCCCGCAUUUGCUUUAUCUCCGAAUGCACUGACCACAGCCUUGGAGUAGUAAUUGCCGAGCAACUGCCAACAAGGUGAUAACUGCAAACAACUCAAUUUGUAAUAGUGCUUUGUCCUGAGGUGACAUCACACUGAAGGCUGCUCUUUGAGUGCUGUGGUGCCAGCUCAUGGACUAGUCUCUCUGUGAUCAUUUUGCUGCCUUGGUUCUGGACUCACUUACACAUUAAUUUGCUGCACAUUGCUUUAGGUUUGCAAUGGCCUUUUAAAGUUCAGGUUUGGUGGCCCCUGUUUUGGGUAACUGUUGCCUUGCUUGCUGACCUUGACCUUGAUAUCCUCCCUAUGCUAAUUCCCUGCCAGGUUCCACCCUCCUGAAUGCUUAAGGGAAGUUCCAUGUCUGUGUAUCCUGCAUAAUGGGCAUUAACAGCUUAGAUGCAAGAUUGUAAAACAUCGGUAGCGAACUUCUGCCCUCCAGGGUUCUCCCAAUGUGCUGUAAGCCUGUAUUUAAGACCUCUUCCCUCCUUCAAUAAACAGCAUUUGGCAUUAAAAAAAAAAAGACUUCUAUCCAGAAGUCCAUCAAAAUUCAGUAGUAGAGUGUGGGGGUCAGCAGAAGAUGGAGUGGGGUGAGGAAGGACUAGAGAAGGACACAAGGUUACUUUGACGAGUGACAACAGUGUCUACUAUCUUGGCUAAGAUGAUGUCUCACAAAUGUAUCUAUGUAUCAAAAUUUGCCAAGUUACUUGUUUUAAAGAUAUUCUCAUUUUUUAUGUCAUUCUACCUCAAUAAAACUGUUUAAAAGUUAAAAAAAAAAUCAGGUUUGGUGUAGUCAAGGUUUAGUUAAAGAAGGUUAGCUUCUAUCCCAGCCUUCUUAAUCCUCUUUCUUGUGCUCUCUCACCUCCCUCCUCCAACCAACCAACCAACCAACCAACCAACCAACCAACCAACCAACCAACUUCCUUUUUCUUUGUAUAAACAAAAAUUGUGUGUGUAUGUGUGUGUUGUAUGUACACAUGUGCACAUGUGUACCCAUGUGUACCUGUAUAUUCAUGUGUCUGUGAAGGCCACAAGUUGAUACGAGGUGUCUGCCUCUAUCAUACUCCACAUUAUUAUUAUUAUUAUUUAGAUAAGCUUUCUUUUUGAACCUAGAGCUCACUAUUUUAACUAAGCUGGCUGUGCCGAAAGGCCCCAGUGUCUACCAGUCUCUACCCAUGCUGGAGUUACAGACGUGUGCCGCCAUGCCCGGCUUUUACAUGGGUGCCGAGGAUGUAAAGUCCUCUCCGCAUACUGGCAUUGCAAGCAUGACGCACUGAACCAUGUCCUCAGCCCCUGUAGAAGCAUGUUUCAAAAAUAUAAGCAAAUAUUCUUUUCUCUGCUUUCUGAGAUAAAGGUUACAUACUAUUCCUGAUUUUUUCUCCAUCUUGCUACCUUAAUAUAUCACAGCACUAUUUAAGACGUGGCAUAAAAUACAGACUCACAGUCUCUUAUCUGUAUGUGCCAAAUCCUCAAAUCGUCAGAACUCUAGAGGUUUAUUAUAAGCCUGCAGCAGACUCAUUUAUAGAAAAACUCAGAUCUUAACAUAUGAAAACGCUGCCUCCAUUUGUAACUUGCCAGCACGUUGAUAUGUUUUUGAUGCUGAUGUGACUCAUAUGUUUGGUUAGAGGCAUAGCCUCGUGCCUCAAUAGAAAUGUUAAGUAGUAGGUGAUAUGUGCAGUGUCUCAGUUCUCGGGAGCAUGGAAAUGAUGAAUUCAGAGACGUAUUUGGCUCCAAGCAUCUCUGGGAAGGGCUCUGAACCUGUAGCAGAUGAGUUGUUUAUCAGUCACCUUCAGUCAGUCUCUCCCUGACUCUCAUGUUCAGAGCAUUUUUAAGGUUGGGACUACAGGACCAGCCAGAUGGUUUAUCAGGGAGAAAUGCUUCCCACAUAAGCCUGACAACCUGAGUGUGAUUCCCAGAACCCAUGCAAAGGUGAGAAGACCCAGUUCCACAGAGUUGUUUUCCGAGCUAUCUAAGAACAUGUCUCCCCCUUCUCCCCACCAAAAUAAGAAAGAAUAAAAGAAUGAAACACAAUUUGGAUAGGAAGCACAUAGAUUUUUCUUUUUCAAGCAGAGUUGGGUAGCAGUAACCACCCAACUGUCAUAAGAAGUAAAAAGAAGCCCCCUUUGUGUUCUCGAUUAUAUCUUAUUCCAACACAUGCCUUUUCCUUGUGAAAGACUUAAGCAUCUGCAUGCUCUUGACAGAGGCCCUGGACUUCAGUUGAGGAUGUCCUAGGACCAUUUUAUGAGAAGGAUUUGAAAAGCCAGCUUGUUAUUUUCUAUGUGCUCCUGUCCCUUUGCUGGAGGCUGACCAGAAUGAAUUGGAGGUUAAGGUUGAUUUAAUGUCAACAUGCCACAGUUAGAGUCAUCUGAGUAGGAACCCAAUCCUGAAGAACUGUCCUGGCUGCCAUCAUUUAUGGGGAAGGUCCAUCUGGAUUGUGGAUGGUCCCUUCUGGUAUCAGGCACAUAAAACGCCCAUAGCAGGAAGAAGAUGACUGCCUUUUGCUCUCACAGCCUCCUCUCCUGCCCGAGUUGAUUCACACUGCUGCUGUUACUGCUGCUGCUGCUGCUGCUCAUUCCUUUGGUGAUCUCAGAACCGGGGUUUCCAGCAUUGACUAAGGAUCAGCAGCUCUCCAGGAACCUUGUGUGUUUGGGGACCCAGAUUGAGACCUCCAGCCUGUGGAUAGAACAACUGCUGGUUUGUCAACCUCCCUAGCAAGGGACAGUGACUUUGGAUUACUCCAGAUGCUUGACACCCAAGCAUCUACCCGAGUUUCUGCUCUCAGAAGGAUUCAGCUGAUAUUACUUUGUUAAUGUAAACUGACUUAAUAAAUUAUUUAUAUAUGUGAAUUCA